GGCCGGUGAUGUGAUAAAAUAUUUGCUACUCUUGAGCUUGCCCAUGACGACACAAAAUCACCAAGAUCGCUGAGGCC
rnacentral:snoRNA from 1 species